rnacentral:rRNA from 1 species
GACGAACGCUGGCGGGGUGCUUAACACAUGCAAGUCGAACGGAAAGGCCCUGCUUUUGUGGGGUGCUCGAGUGGCGAACGGGUGAGUAACACGUGAGUAACCUGCCCUUGACUUUGGGAUAACUUCAGGAAACUGGGGCUAAUACCGGAUAGGAGCUCCUGCUGCAUGGUGGGGGUUGGAAAGUUUCGGCGGCUGGGGAUGGACUCGCGGCUUAUCAGCUUGUUGGUGGGGUAGUGGCUUACCAAGGCUUUGACGGGUAGCCGGCCUGAGAGGGUGACCGGCCACAUUGGGACUGAGAUACGGCCCAGACUCCUACGGGAGGCAGCAGUGGGGAAUAUUGCACAAUGGGCGGAAGCCUGAUGCAGCAACGCCGCGUGCGGGAUGACGGCCUUCGGGUUGUAAACCGCUUUCGCCUGUGACGAAGCGUGAGUGACGGUAAUGGGUAAAGAAGCACCGGCUAACUACGUG